rnacentral:rRNA from 1 species
ACGAACGCUGGCGGCGUGCUUAACACAUGCAAGUCGCACGGUGAAGCUCCAGCUUGCUGGAGUGGAUCAGUGGCGAACGGGUGAGUAACACGUGAGCAACCUGCCCCUGACUCUGGAAUAAGCGCUGGAAGCGGCGUCUAAUACUGGAUACGAGAAGGGUCCGCAUGGGCACUUUCUGGAAAGUUUUUCGGUUGGGGAUGGGCUCGCGGCCUAUCAGCUUGUUGGUGAGGUAAUGGCUCACCAAGGCGACGACGGGUAGCCGGCCUGAGAGGGCGACCGGCCACACUGGGACUGAGACACGGCCCAGACUCCUACGGGAGGCAGCAGUGGGGAAUAUUGCACAAUGGGCGAAAGCCUGAUGCAGCGACGCCGCGUGAGGGAUGACGGCCUUCGGGUUGUAAACCUCUUUCAGCAGGGAAGAAGCGAAAGUGACGGUACCUGCAGAAGAAGCACCGGCUAACUACGUG